UGGGGAAUAUUGGACAAUGGGCGCAAGCCUGAUCCAGCAAUGCCGCGUGAGUGAUGAAGGCCUUAGGGUUGUAAAGCUCUUUCGCACGCGACGAUGAUGACGGUAGCGUGAGAAGAAGCCCCGGCUAACUUCGUGCCAGCAGCCGCGGUAAUACGAAGGGGGCUAGCGUUGUUCGGAAUUACUGGGCGUAAAGGGCGCGUAGGCGGCCUGUUAAGUUAGGAGUGGAAGCCCCGGGCUCAACCUGGGAAUUGCUCUUAAUACUGGCAGGCUUGAGUUCCGGAGAGGAUGGUGGAAUUCCCAGUGUAGAGGUGAAAUUCGUAGAUAUUGGGAAGAACACCGAUGGCGAAGGCGGCCAUCUGGACGGACACUGACGCUGAGGCGCGAAAGCGUGGGGAGCAAACA
rnacentral:rRNA from 1 species